rnacentral:rRNA from 1 species
AUGAACGCUAGCGGCAGGCUUAAUACAUGCAAGUCGAGGGGCAGCAGGUCUGUAGCAAUACAGAUGUUGGCGACCGGCAAACGGGUGCGGAACACGUACAGAACCUUCCUUCGAGCGGGGAAUAGCCCAGAGAAAUUUGGAUUAAUACCCCAUAGUAUAUUAGAGUGGCAUCACUUUAAUAUUAAAGAUUAUCACUUGAAGAUGGCUGUGCGGCUGAUUAGGAGUUGGCGGGGUAACGGCCCACCAAGCCAGCGAUCAGUAACUGGUGUGAGAGCACGACCAGUCACACGGGC